rnacentral:rRNA from 1 species
AUGGACAAAAGGAAUAAUUGUGCCUCCGCUGAGGACAUUACUGAGACUCGGAACUCUAGCCAGAAGCUCGAGGUCAGGAUUCUUCGUUCUAGACCCGCGAAGAAGCCACCUGCCGACUCAGUGGAUACUCUAGUGAAACCAACUACUAAAAGAAUAAGAAGGAAAAGACCCACAGAGAGACGUCCUGAUGACGAUGAGUUGUCAAAAAUUCGUAAGCAAAUUAAAUACUUUUUCAAUCGGAUAAGCUAUCAUCAGACUUUUGUUGAAGCAUAUACACGUAAAGGCUGGAAAAAUCAAAGUGUGGAAAAGAUAAGGCCCGAGAAGGAUCUUGAACGGGCCAAGAAGGAUAUCAUGCGGUACAAAUUAAAAAUACGAGAAGCUUUCCAGAAUCUGGAUCAUCUUCUAACUGUGGGGAAGCCCGAGGAAUGUUUGCUUGAUUCUGAAGGAAAUAUGUCUUCAAAUGAUAUUGUUUGUGCCACUUGUAGUUUAAAAGAAGAUACAUUGGAUAAUGACAUCAUUCUCUGUGAUGGAGCCUGCAAAAGAGGGUUCCACCAGAAUUGUCUAAACCCUCCUUUACUGACUAAAGAUAUCCCCGAGGGAGAGGAAAAAUGGCAUUGCCCUGCAUGUGUUUGCAAGAUAGACUGUAUAGAAUCAAUAAAUAAAUUCCGAGGGACAUCAGAUCUUUCAAUUAGUGACUCUUGGCAGAAAGUUUUUCCUGAGGCUGCUGCCAUGGCACACGGGUCUAUGCAAAGUGAUGUACCUGAUCUUCCAUCGGACGAUUCAGAAGAUGAUGACUUCGACCCCAAUAUAUCCGAAGAACAUGUGGCUUGUCAUGUGGAAGGAUCAUCAGAAGAGGAUGGGGAUGAAGGUUCAUACUCUGAUGACUCCAAUUCCAUCACCUCUUCUGACAGUUUAGAACAUCUGAAGGAGGGAGAGAAAGUUGAUGACCUUCGAUUACCUUCUGAUGACUCGGAGGACGAUGACUAUGAUCCAGCAGGGCCAGAUUCUGAUGAAGAUAUGAAAGAGAAGCAAGAUGAGUCAGACUUCACAUCGGACUCUGAUGAUUUCUGUGCUGACAUUGCGAAGUCUUGUCAUAUGGAGGAAGUUUCGUCUGGUCGUAAGGCUGGAGAUCAUACUAAUGACUUGGAAGGGGCCCCUGUUGGACCUAACACAUCAAUGUCACAUCUCACAACCAAGGACAUUGAGAUCGACCAGGAUGCGAUUUUACCAUCAAGGAGACGGCAGGUUAAACCAUUGGACUACAAAAAACUUUAUGAUGAUGCUUAUGGGGAAGCACUAUCUGAUUCAAGCGAUGGUGAAGACUGGUCUGGGAAGAGCACACUCAAAGAACACAGUGAAGAAGAAAUUGAAGUGGAUUCAUUUGUACACAAAAGCUCCAGGAGAACGCGAGAUGUGCAUCGUGACGGUUUUCAUGGUUUUGUAAAUGAUCAAUACUCCAGGGGGCUGACCUCUGGUCCUGAAGUGGACCAUGUUGUUUUACCUGUUUCAGCGAGACAGCACAUUCAGUCUCCGGAAAGCGAAAAACUCUACGCUGUAAGCUCCCAACUUGCCUGUAGGCUACAUGAGCAAUUUAAAAUACAUCAAUAUCCUAGCCGUGUUGUUAAAGAAAGCUUGGCUCAAGAACUAGGUCUGACAUUUAGUCAGGUUGAGAAAUGGUUUGAAAAUAGACGGCGUCACUUAAAAAAAGCAUCUAACAAAAACAGCAAUCCCAUAGAAAACCAUAGCAAAAUGCCGCAGGAGCUAAAGAAGAGAAAGAUUGGCUGA